UCCGACAGGCGCGCGGGGGGGGGGCGGGUACGGGCCCCGGUGGGACCCAUCGGCGCGUUCCUGCUAGAAUAAGGGGAAACAAAUCCCCGCAGUUCCCGGAGUCACCCUGCCUGCUGUGCCGGUGCCCCGCCCGCUGGGUUUAUUUCGUGGCGCGCAGGGACAGCCGUCCCGCCGGGACACUGCCACCGGGGCAUGGGAGACGCCGUGCCGGGGGCGGGGCUCCGCCGGUUCGGUUGAUGGCGGCGGCGCGGCGAUGAUGCUGCCGCCGGGUCCAUCCUGCGCCGCAUAAGUACGGCGGUCGCUCCCUCCCUUUCCCGCCGGGUCCAUCCCUCGCCGCACAGCAUCCUGAAGUAUGGAGAACUUCAUUCUGUAUGAGGAGAUUGGAAGAGGAAAUAAGACAGUUGUUUAUAAAGGAAGAAGAAAGGGGACAAUUAAUUUUGUUGCCAUUCUUUGCACUGAUAAAUGCAAAAGAGCUGAAAUAACAAACUGGGUUCGUCUGACUCAUGAAAUCAGACACAAGAAUAUAGUGACAUUUCAUGAAUGGUAUGAAACAAGCAACCAUCUCUGGCUUGUAGUGGAACUAUGCACAGGUGGUUCUCUAGAAUCUGUCAUUGCUCAAGAUGAACAUCUACCUGAAGAUGUAGUGAGAGAAUUUGGUGUUGAAUUGAUUACUGGUUUAUACCAUAUUCAUGGGCUUGGAAUUAUCUUUUGUGAAUUAACACCUGGAAAGAUUCUGCUGGAAGGGUCUGGCACUUUGAAAUUCAGUAGUUUUUGCUUGGCUAAAGUGGAUGGUGAAAACUUGGAAGAAUUUUAUGCUUUAGUUGGAAACGAAGAAGGUGAAGAUGUUAGUGAAAGUACUCCACAAGGAUACUUGAAAAACAGAUUUCGAGGCUCUCCAUUGUACACAGCUCCAGAAGCAAUAAAGGGAGAUGACUUCAGCAAAGCCAGUGAUCUGUGGUCCUUGGGAUGUUUACUUUAUGAAAUGUUCUCAGGAAAACCACCAUUCUUCUCAGAAAGCUUUUCUGAAUUAAUUGAAAAGAUUUUAUAUGAAGAUCCAUUGCCACCUAGACCAGAGGGUUCUGCUUUUCACAAACCUUCUGCUGAGUUCAUCAGUUUGCUUGAUGGGUUGCUUCAAAAGGAUCCUCAGAAAAGGCUGAAUUGGACAGACCUAUUGCAGCAUCCGUUCUGGAAAGGAUCCCUUCGCCACUGUGGUACUGAGUCUGCAGACAAUCAAGGCACAAGCUCAAGCAGCAAUGAGGACACAGAGUCAUCAGUGUCUUGGAGUACGAAAGGGUCAGUGGAUACUCAUAAAAAUCUAGAUAACCUGUCAUCUUCAAGAGCAGAUCUUAAACUACCAAGCAGUUCUUUCAAAAUAGUAGAAACUCAGACCGAGUUACGCCCCAAAAGUGCAGUUGAUGGUGAAUCAAAUGAAUCCAUAUUUCUUCUGAGUUCUCGUCCCACACCUAGAACUAGCGCUGCAGUAGAAGUAAGUGAUGCUACUGCUGCCCCAAUCAAAAAUUUUCCACAAAGAGAUUCAUGCUUGAAGAAGGCUGAAAAUAUGUGCUCAAGUCAGCAGGAUAUGGAGUCAGCAUUGAGAGAGCUCAUUUACACUGAAUCUGAUCUUAUCAUAACGCCAAUCAUUGACAAUCCAAAGAUAAUAAAGCAAGUGUCAGUUAGAUUUGACUCAAAAACUUUACAUGUACCAGCACAUUCAGCUGAGAAGUUAUCAUCUAUGAAAGAUGUGGACUGGAAUAACUUCUUGAAAAGAGUAUGCUCACUGCUGGAUUCCACUGAGAAGAACACAGGAGCAGCACGUUCUAAACUGAACUUACUGUACUAUCUGUGCACUCUGGCUGUCCACAAGGAGAUUGCAAGCAGACUAAUGAGCUCUCAGCUGUUUCCUAUAUUGAUGCAGCAGCUGCGUGCAGCCACCAGCUGGGAUAUACGUGCUAAAGUUGCUCGAGUGAUUGGUUUACUGGCAUUACACACAUCUGAACUUGGAGAAAAUGUACCUGUUUCUGAGGCAGUUAUACUUUUAACUGAACUCAUCAGAGACAACUUCAGAAACAGCAAAUUGAAGCAGUGCCUUCUACCAGCACUCGGGGAGCUGCUUUACCUCGUAGCCAGGGAGGAGGAAAAAGGGGAGCACCCCAGAGAAUGCUGGGCUGUUCCCUCAGCUGCUUACACGGUGCUAAUGAGGUGUCUCCGGGAAGGGGAAGACCGGGUAGUGAACCAUUUGGCAGCAAAGAUAAUUGAAAAUGUUUGCACUACUCGUGCAUGCCAUGCACAAGGAUUUAUUACAGGAGAAAUUGGACCUGUCUUGUGGUACCUUUUCACACAUUCUGCAGUAGAUUCUUUGAAGAUAACUGCUGUUUCGGCUUUAUGCAGAAUUACUCGCUCCUCACCUAGUGCUUUCCAGAGUGUCAUUGAAAAAGUGGGAUUAACAGCCGUACUGAAUUCCUUGGCAAAUGGAAUAUGCAAAAUUCAGCAGUACAUGCUCACCAUGUUUUCAGCAAUGUUGUCAUGUGGGAUUCAUCUACAGAGAUUGAUUCAAGAAAAGGAUUUUGUGACUACAAUUACUCGAUUACUUGAAAGUCCUUCAACUUUUAUUCGAGCAAAAGCCUUUCUGGUGCUGCUACAAGUUUUGAUCAAUAACAGGGAGAUGUUGCUACUCAGUUGUCAAACAAGGCUCGUGAUUUAUAUUGAAAGAGACAGCAGGAAGACCACAUCAGGAAAAGAGCAGCAAGGUGGCAGUGAAUAUCUGUCAAAAUGCCUGGAUCUUCUCAUCUAUCACAUUGUGCGGGAGCUGCCAGGAAUUCUAGGUGACAUUCUCACUGCCCUAACUAAUGUCUCGGGACGUAAACACCCAUCAACGGUUCAGGCCAAACAACUGAAGAUGUGCCUUCCUAUGAUGCCUGUCGUGCUUCACCUUGUGACAUCCCAGGUAUUUCGUCCCCAGAUAAUCACAAAGGAGUUUCUUUUCAACUAUGGCACCUUACUUGAGUUCAUCAGAUCGAUAGAAUCAGGAGAAAUAAACUUGGACAGAGCAAUAGGGCAAGCUGCAUCAGAAGAAUUGAUUAAGACUACUUUCUUGACCUUUGAAGCAGUAACAGAGCAUCCCAGCUUGUUGACAAUCCAUCACUUGACUGUUGAAGACCGUAUCCUCCCACCACUGGUUUCUUUGGUCCACAGUCAGAAUGUGGAAUGGAGACUCUUCAGCUUGCGGUUGCUCUCAGAAACCACAUCACUGCUUUUAAGCCACGGGGUCAUGGAUGAGGAGAAAGGGGAGAGCCUUGACUCAAACAGCAAGCUUCUGUCUCUCAUUAGAGAUUUAUUGCUGCCUCAGUAUGAGCACAUUCUGAUGGCUCCGGACCCAGUACCACUGUAUGCUCUGAAACUGUUGGUGGCCCUGACUGAGCACAGCCCUGCUUCUGUGAGCCUCGUGGAAGAAAUCCAUCUUUUUCCAGUUCUUUUCCAAGUCAUUUUGGGACAUCAAGACAGUAUACUUGGGAAUACAAUGCAAACUGUAAUCGCCUUACUGAAUAACAUCGUUGCUAACAAAAGUACAAAUAUGAUGUUACUCUUUAAAGAAGGACUGGCUCAUCACAUCUGUAAUCUCCUAACAGAAGCUGUGGUUCUGUACUUGGAGGCAGAUGAUAAAAGCAGCACCAAGACAGUAAAUGCACUGCUUCUGUCCUUGCUUGACAUUUUGCAGUGCGUGCUUAUGUAUACAGCAAACAUUGUGCGCCAGACUUUGCAGGCACAGAAAUCUGGCACAGGAGGGGACACACAGGCUGCCGAAGACCUUCUGCUUAUCAAUAAACCCCUGACGGACCUAAUUAGCCUGCUUAUUCAACUGCUUCCCAGUGAAGAUACUGAAAUAUUUGUGAGUACUUCACAGUGCUUAUCAUUGCUGGUUCAGCUAUAUGGAGGGAACAGUCAGGAGAGUAUGUCUCCAGAAAAUAUGGACAGCUUUGCUGAAGUACUGAAGUCCAAAAAAGAUACACGACAACUGAAGCUUUUGUUGAGAAUUGUAAAGAGACUGAUAACUUCAAACAAGAAGCACUUGGAGAGCCUGAAGAAUGAUGGCAAUGCUCUUAUCCAAACUCUAGAGAGCCUGGCCCAAACUGCCAGCUCUCAUGCUGAUGUUGCUGUUGCUUCCUUGGCAUUUGAAAUUCUGAGAACAGCGGGACAUGAAAAUAUCAAGACUACCAAGUGAACUGGCCCACCGAAAUGUGCAGUUGUGUGCGCUGCUCAGCAUCUCAGUCCUGCAGGAACAUCUUCAGACGAGCUGAGCAGAUGUGACUGCCCUGGCUGUUCAUCUUAAGGGGUCCCAUCGUGCUCGUGACUGGCACUAGAAAAUACCUUUUCAUCAAGACAGACAAUAUUCUUCACCUCAAGCAACCAGAACCAAUCCCUGUGAUCACACAGAGGCUGUGUAUGGAUGAUACAUGUUACUGGGUUUUUACCCAGUAGCAGGAAUUUUUUGUCUGUGUGCCCCACUCUUUCCUAGUUUCCUGCACAGCUUAAACUGCACUGGUGGAGUGUCAUUCUCAGCUGCCAAUGCUCCUGGCUGGAGCUCUUCUUUGACAAUAGGUGCGAUGAUGACCCUGGCAGUUUGGCAUAUCCCCAUGAAAAGUUGGGACCCUAGGAAUGGUCCUUUAGAGCUUGCAGAUACCACAGAAUGUAAAGAAUUAAUGUCUUCUCCACAUGUGCUGUUAAGACCACUUCUUACUGUCAGUGCAGCAGCUCCAUGUUCCCACUGCACCUACCAAACACAGGUGCCUAUUGGCAGUUGCUGCUACAGCACCUGCCCUUGGACAGCCCAGUUAUCCACAGUAUGUGGAGGCAAGCAAACACCCCUGGGUAAACAGAUAUCACUGUGUGUGUCUUAAAGGAAUUAUUUUCUCAUAUUACUUCAAAUAUCACUGCGUAUCUUUCAUAGCUUAAUAGCUGGAGUUACUAGGAAUGGGGAAAAGUUCAGUGGUGGCUGUUAUUUGGUGCAGUGUUUUACAGUAAGGGUCAUCUAGCGUGAGUGUGGCAGAGAGGAACAAAGUGUGUUACUGGGUGAGACUUUCCCCUCUGCAGCUGCACUGCCUUUGGUCUGCAAGGGAGAGGGGGAGUGCUCUGGUAUGUGCUUCCCUUCAGCUCUCAUCACACUGAGCCACGAGCCUCUGCAGCCAAGGCCCUCUCUGAUCUCCUGCCGGCAAACUGCUGCCUGAGGUGGAAGUGACUGGGAGCUUUGCUCCCGCCGAGGCUGGUGACAGCUGCACGGUGCAGAUGUGCACUCUGUGGCUUAGUCGGCACUUUCAGAACCACUUUCCCGCUCCCAGCCACACAGGUGCUGCCUCCAGAGGAGUCAGUUACACACAGGUCUUAUCUUGCACAAUAACUGAAGACUGAGGACACCUGAAAAUGGGUUUAAGCUCCAGAACCAGCUGACAGGUUGCUAACAAAGGAUCUUUAUCUCACUGACCCUGUGACAGCACACUGCUGAAGGGAACUGAGGCAAGACACUGUUCUCACUUUCUGAAGCCCAGAAGUGAGCGUGGGGCUGGCAGGCCAGGCACGAAGUGUAGUUGCUAGGCUAGACCUCCCCUACGCUGAGGAACCUGCCAAAGCAAAGCAGCAGCAAGUCAAGGGGAAGAAUACUGCCUCAGAGGACUGCAGUAGGAAACCUCCAAACUCCAAAGGGUAACUAUUUCAUAGUGGGAUGAAAAAGGAAAUGAUUCUUGACUCCCUCCUCUGAAGUACUUAAAUGAUUGUGUAAUUCCAGGAUGAUU